rnacentral:rRNA from 1 species
GCAAAACUCAAAAACUUAGUCUCAGUUCGGAUUGUAGGCUGAAACUCGCCUACAUGAAGCUGGAGUUGCUAGUAAUCGCGAAUCAGCAUGUCGCGGUGAAUACGUUCCCGGGCCUUGUACACACCGCCCGUCACACCAUGAGAGUUGGCAAUACCCAACGUACGUGAUCUAACCCGCAAGGGAGGAAGCGUCCUAAGGUAGGGUCAGCGAUUGGGGUGAAGUCGUAACAAGGUAUC